GUAAAAGCAAUGAACAGAAGAGACUAAAGUGAAAUGCAUAGAGAACUUAUGGCUGGUGUAAAUAAGUGUGAAGCUUUAGAAAGAUGGUCUGGGAGCUGUUAUCUCUAAUAGGGAUAACCGUAACUCGCGUUAAGAGAUUGAGUGACACGUAAGUGUAAAAAAGGUGGUACCGCGAUAAUUUCGUCCUUUAU
rnacentral:ncRNA from 1 species